AGUGAAGAAGGCUUUCGGGUCGUAAAACUCUGUUGUUGGAGAAGAAUGGUCGGCAGAGUAACUGUUGUCGGCGUGACGGUAUCCAACCAGAAAGCCACGGCUAACUACGUGCCAGCAGCCGCGGUAAUACGUAGGUGGCAAGCGUUAUCCGGAUUUAUUGGGCGUAAAGCGAGCGCAGGCGGUUUUUUAAGUCUGAUGUGAAAGCCCUCGGCUUAACCGAGGAAGUGCAUCGGAAACUGGGAAACUUGAGUGCAGAAGAGGACAGUGGAACUCCAUGUGUAGCGGUGAAAUGCGUAGAUAUAUGGAAGAACACCAGUGGCGAAGGCGGCUGUCUGGUCUGUAACUGACGCUGAGGCUCGAAAGCAUGGGUAGCGAACAGGAUUAGAUACCCUGGUAGUCCAUGCCGUAAACGAUGAAUGCUAGGUGUUGGAGGGUUUCCGCCCUUCAGUGCCGCAGCUAACGCAUUAAGCAUUCCGCCUGGGGAGUACGACCGCAAGGUUGAAACUCAAAGGAAUUGACGGGGGCCCGCACAAGCGGUGGAGCAUGUGGUUUAAUUCGAAGCAACGCGAAGAACCUUACCAGGUCUUGACAUCUUUUGAUCACCUGAG
rnacentral:rRNA from 2 species